CCCUCCUUCCAACCAGCAGCAGUACGCAUGCGCUAAUUUAUUGUCAGCAACACACACGGGAAUUUCAGCUGACUGAAGACGUGUGAGCUGAUUCCAGUUUUGAAGAGCCGUAGCCUGUCCAAGGGCACAGGCAGGGCUGCAGAAAGAAUUUGAAAAGAUCUGCCCGACUGCAAGGAGAGGCUGGCUGAGAUGAAGGGAGACUCCUGCACCGUACAACAAAACUGCUGCCAUUCAACAACUGCACUAUUUCAGUUAUUUAUUACCAAGUAUGUUUACAUAACAGUUGAACACUUUCCAUGACAUGACAACACUGUACUUUAUUCUUCAUUUGGAUGCCAAUUAAGAAAAAUACUCAAUUUGGUGACAUUUUUAGAAGUCAUUUUUUAUCUUGUCCUUGGUCUGGGUGACAUCAGUUCAGUACUUUAUCAGAAGGUUUUCAUGACACAGUGUCUUUGUUAUUUCAAGAAGUUUAAAGAUACUACCUUGUAUUUUUGUUCAUUUCCCUAAUUAAACUUUAAUUGACC